rnacentral:rRNA from 1 species
AGAGUUUGAUCCUGGCUCAGGAUGAACGCUAGCUACAGGCUUAACACAUGCAAGUCGAGGGGAAACGACAUCGAAAGCUUGCUUUUGAUGGGCGUCGACCGGCGCACGGGUGAGUAACGCGUAUCCAACCUGCCCACCACUUGGGGAUAACCUUGCGAAAGUAAGACUAAUACCCAAUGAUAUCUCUAGAAGACAUCUGAAAGAGAUUAAAGAUUUAUCGGUGAUGGAUGGGGAUGCGUCUGAUUAGCUUGUUGGCGGGGUAACGGCCCACCAAGGCGACGAUCAGUAGGGGUUCUGAGAGGAAGGUCCCCCACAUUGGAACUGAGACACGGUCCAAACUCCUACGGGAGGCAGCAGUGAGGAAUAUUGGUCAAUGGGCGAGAGCCUGAACCAGCCAAGUAGCGUGCAGGAUGACGGCCCUAUGGGUUGUAAACUGCUUUUAUAAGGGAAUAAAGUGAGUCUCGUGAGACUUUUUGCAUGUACCUUAUGAAUAAGGACCGGCUAAUUCCGUGCCAGCAGCCGCGGUAAUACGGAAGGUCCGGGCGUUAUCCGGAUUUAUUGGGUUUAAAGGGAGCGUAGGCCGUCUUAUAAGCGUGUUGUGAAAUGUCGGGGCUCAACCUGGGCAUUGCAGCGCGAACUGUGAGACUUGAGUGCGCGGGAAGUAGGCGGAAUUCGUCGUGUAGCGGUGAAAUGCUUAGAUAUGACGAAGAACUCCGAUUGCGAAGGCAGCCUGCUGUAGCGCAACUGACGCUGAAGCUCGAAAGCGUGGGUAUCGAACAGGAUUAGAUACCCUGGUAGUCCACGCGGUAAACGAUGGAUGCUCGCUGUUUGCGUCUGACGUAAGCGGCCAAGCGAAAGCGUUAAGCAUCCCACCUGGGGAGUACGCCGGCAACGGUG